UACGUAGGGGGCUAGCGUUGUCCGGAAUCAUUGGGCGUAAAGCGCGUGUAGGCGGUCCGGUAAGUCCGCUGUGAAAGUCGAGGGCUCAACCCUCGAAUGCCGGUGGAUACUGUCGGGCUUGAGUACGGGAGAGGCGAGUGGAAUUCCUGGUGUAGCGGUGAAAUGCGCAGAUAUCAGGAGGAACACCGGUGGCGAAGGCGGAUCUCUGGGCCUUACCUGACGCUGAGGAGCGAAAGCAUGGGGAGCAAACAGG
rnacentral:rRNA from 1 species